rnacentral:rRNA from 1 species
GAAUAUUGGACAAUGGGCGAAAGCCUGAUCCAGCGAUGCCGCGCGUGUGAAGAAGGUCUUCUGAUUGUAAAGCACUAUAAGUUGGGAGGAAGGGCAGUAAGCGAAUACCUUGCGGUUUUGACGUUACCGACAGAAUAAGCACCGGUCACCUCUGUCCUAGCAGCGGCGGUAAUACAGAGGGUGCAAGCGUUAAUCGGAAUUACUGGGCGUAAAGCGCGCGUAGGGGGUUCGUUAAGUUGGAUGUGAAAACCCCGGGCUCAACCUGGGAACUGCAUCCAAAACUGGCGAGCUAGAGUAGGGCAGAGGGUGGUGGAAUUUCCUGUGUAGCGGUGAAAUGCGUAGAUAUAGGAAGGAACACCAGUGGCGAAGGCGACCACCUGGGCUCAUACUGACACUGAGGUGCGAAAGCGUGGGGAGCAAACA